rnacentral:rRNA from 1 species
UACGAAGGGGGCUAGCGUUGCUCGGAAUGACUGGGCGUAAAGGGCGCGUAGGCGGAUGGCACAGUCAGAUGUGAAAUUCCCGGGCUUAACCUGGGGGCUGCAUUUGAUACGUGCGAUCUAGAGUGAGGAAGAGGGUCGUGGAAUUCCCAGUGUAGAGGUGAAAUUCGUAGAUAUUGGGAAGAACACCGGUGGCGAAGGCGGCGACCUGGUCCUUGACUGACGCUGAGGCGCGAAAGCGUGGGGAGCAAACAGG